rnacentral:rRNA from 1 species
UACGGAGGGAGCUAGCGUUGUUCGGAAUUACUGGGCGUAAAGCGCGCGUAGGCGGCCUUGCAAGUUAGAGGUGAAAGCCCGGAGCUCAACUCCGGAACUGCCUUUGAUACUGGGGAUCUUGAGUCCGGGAGAGGUGAGUGGAACUGCGAGUGUAGAGGUGAAAUUCGUAGAUAUUCGCAAGAACACCAGUGGCGAAGGCGGCUCACUGGCCCGGUACUGACGCUGAGGUGCGAAAGCGUGGGGAGCAAACAGGG